UCCAGUAUUCCUGGGGCAGGGGCUUGAGAAGACUUCAUCUGAGCAGCGCAGCAGUGUUCCAGAAAGUCUCGUCAGCAUCAGACAUCCCAACGAGUGACGACUUUCCAGCAAGAUGUCCACUCUCCCCAUGAAGACAGUGUUUGCUAUUGCUCUGGUGGCCUUUUCCUUGUUCCAGAUAGGAUAUGCCAUUAAAUGCUACAUUGGUGUGGAUGACCUAAUGACAUUGAUUGCACUACGUCUUGUGUAAAAUGGGAGACUAAUUCAAAAUAUGGAGACAUUCUGCAGUAUAGCUGUUAUACGAAAAAGGAGACGGACGGUUGCACGACUAGGGUAACACCAAUCCCAGGUAUUGACAAGGACGCCACCAGAACACAGUGUUUCUGUAACACUGACCUCUGCAACAGUUCCGGCGUGACAAUGUUGUCCCUACCUGUGCUUGUGGGCUCCUUCCUCCUGAGGAUGGUGAUCUAAAGUCUUCCAAAGAAGAAGAAGAGGAAGAAGAGAACUUUCCUGAAGGGAAAUAAAAAAAAGAUGCUGUAAUUUGGGUACUUAAAAGUUUCUAUGAAUGCUGUUCUUUCAUUCGGAAUUAAUUGUAAUUCUUGUUUGAUCAUGUAAACUGUUGCCAUACUCA